rnacentral:tRNA from 1 species
GGUGGCGUAGCCAAGCGGUAAGGCAAGGGUUUGCAAAACCCUCAUGCGCCGGUUCAAAUCCGGCCGCCACCUCCC